GGCAUAAGGAAGCAUGGAGUGUGUAUGAUUAAACAUAUGUUCUCAUUAAUCUUGAAUGUUUCAUGCUCAGGACAUGGACAUUUUUCUGUAAUCACCAUUUGAUAGUUGGUAAUUACGUUAUAAUUUUCCCCCUUUCUCAAGUUUGACUUGUUUCAACUCUUUAUUUUGGUUGUUUGGCAUUGAUUAAUGUCACUUCAUUUUGAUUAUAAGUGCUAGCUUCCAAUGAUUUGAAACAUAUGUACUUUGCUAACUGCUUUCAAAUCAUCAGGCAUUGGUACUAGAGGUCUGUGAU
rnacentral:misc_RNA from 1 species